ACCGCCUGUCCCAGACCCUCCGUCCCGGCGCCCCCCGGAUGCCCUUGGCUGGGUGUCGGUCGGGGUCCGGAGCGUUUACUUUGAAAAAAUUAGAGUGUUCAAAGCGGGCCACUACUCGCCUGAAUACCUGAGCUAGGAAUAAUGGAAUAGGACUCCGGUUCUAUUUUGUGGGUUUCCGGAACCAGGGCCAUGAUUAAGAGGGACGCGCGGGGG
rnacentral:rRNA from 1 species